UACGUAGGGUGCAAGCGUUAAUCGGAAUUACUGGGCGUAAAGCGUGCGCAGGCGGUGAUGUAAGACAGGUGUGAAAUCCCCGGGCUUAACCUGGGAACUGCAUUUGUGACUGCAUCGCUGGAGUGCGGCAGAGGGGGAUGGAAUUCCGCGUGUAGCAGUGAAAUGCGUAGAUAUGCGGAGGAACACCGAUGGCGAAGGCAAUCCCCUGGGCCUGCACUGACGCUCAGUCGCACGAAAGCGUGGGGAGCAAACAGG
rnacentral:rRNA from 1 species